UACGUAGGUGGCAAGCGUUGUCCGGAUUUACUGGGCGUAAAGAGCGCGCAGGCGGUCGAAUAAGUCGAAUGUGAAAGCCCCCGGCUCAACUGGGGAGGGUCAUUCGAUACUGCUCGACUUGAAGGCAGGAGAGGGUAGUGGAAUUCCCGGUGUAGUGGUGAAAUGCGUAGAUAUCGGGAGGAACACCUGAGGCGAAGGCGGGCUACUGGGCCGAUACUGACGCUGAGGCGCGAAAGCCAGGGGAGCAAACGGG
rnacentral:rRNA from 1 species